rnacentral:misc_RNA from 1 species
UGCCAUUCUAGCAAUGCCCUGGCCUGACCGAAAUGAAAACCAAAACACAUUACACAUAUAUGCAAAUCUUAACAAAUCAACUGGCAUAACAUAUGCACUAGUUGAAUAAGAGUAUGUUCACAGACAAUGGUCCAAUUUGAUUAGUAGAACUUUUACCAAUAUAAGAGUGAGGAAGAUAACAGGAAGAAAGCCAUAAAGCCAUCAACAACAAGAUUUCCAGAUGCAAAACCAAGAAGAAACAGUUAAGGAGGGAACAAAAAUUCUAUGGUGAGAGAUUUUACUAUUAAAUGGGGAAAAAGAUAAGACAAACUACGACAAGCACAUGUCAUCAACUUGAUUAAUAGAACUAAGCCUUUCCAAAGUAGAUCAUCAACCCAUAAAGCCUAAUUAUCCACAGAACAUCUAUGUCACCUAUAAGGAUCUUACAAAAUCCUUAUAAUCGAAAUGGUUAAUCAUACAUUAAAAAAGAAUGGUAUAAUGAAAUUGUCUUGUUAUGAAUAAAUCUCAAGCCUGUGCUAAGACUUGGGGACAAACUCAAACUUUUAUAAAGAUUCAGCUAAAAGGUGAAAAUGAGUACCAAUGUGACCAUAAUUCAUCUUUUUAAAGAAAAUAUUGGAGGAAAAAGUCAUAUAACUAACAUAUAGCAACCUAGACUACAAAAGACUAAUUUUGAAUGUUGAUUUAUGCGACUAGGAAAUUAAAGCAGAAGGAAAAAAAUGGAACUUUGAGAUGUAAAUUAGUCAAAUUGCUACAUUGAGCUUCAAGUUUCCCCACAAGUUACGAUACUAAUUAUGAAGCUACACCCGAUCCUUGCUCUUCUCUACUAUAGCAUAAGGAUUUUGUUCCUUUUGAAUCCCCAUGGCAACUAACCUCUCUCCUAAAUCCCCAAAGAACAGUCUUCUGAGACAAAAAUGAAUAGCCUGUAUGAAUAUUUGUAGUGCAAAUCCCAGCAGAAUUGUAUCCUAUUGCCAUGUCUUAUCUCACAUGAUGCCUUUUAUCCUAUCUGUAUCUGGACUUUGUAGGUUAUGAUUCAUUUAAAAAAAUUAGGUAAAGAGACACAACUUUUACCUGUGAAUUCAGGAAGGGGAAAAAAGGAG